rnacentral:rRNA from 1 species
CCUACGGGGGGUUGCAGUGGGGAAUAUUGGACAAUGGGGGGAACCCUGAUCCAGCCAUGCCGCGUGUGUGAAGAAGGCCCUCGGGUUGUAAAGCACUUUCAGUGAGGAAGAACGCCUGGUGGUUAAUACCCAUCAGGAAAGACAUCACUCACAGAAGAAGCACCGGCUAACUCCGUGCCAGCAGCCGCGGUAAUACGGAGGGUGCGAGCGUUAAUCGGAAUUACUGGGCGUAAAGCGCGCGUAGGUGGCUUGAUAAGCCGGUUGUGAAAGCCCCGGGCUCAACCUGGGAACGGCAUCCGGAACUGUCAAGCUAGAGUGCAGGAGAGGAAGGUAGAAUUCCCGGUGUAGCGGUGAAAUGCGUAGAGAUCGGGAGGAAUACCAGUGGCGAAGGCGGCCUUCUGGACUGACACUGACACUGAGGUGCGAAAGCGUGGGUAGCAAACAGGAUUAGAUACCCUGGUAGUC